rnacentral:rRNA from 1 species
UACGUAGGGUGCGAGCGUUAAUCGGAAUUACUGGGCGUAAAGCGUGCGCAGGCGGUUUGUAAGCCAGAUGUGAAAUCCCCGGGCUUAACCUGGGAAUGGCAUUUGGGACUGCAAGGCUUGAGUGCGGCAGAGGAGACUGGAAUUCCUGGUGUAGCAGUGAAAUGCGUAGAUAUCAGGAGGAAUACCGAUGGCGAAGGCAGGUCUCUGGGCUGACACUGACGCUCAUG